GCCUAUUGCUCCUAGGCUUCAAACCCAUACAGCAUGGCACUAUAUGGAAUACUGUAGGCAAUUUUAACACAAUGGAUCCUGACCCUUGGGAAUGGGAUCUGGAGCCAGUGGGAAGCAUUCUCCGAAUAUGAUAAUGUGGUUAUCUUCUGACGAGUGCUGGCAUUAUCACUUGUUGCUAGAAAAACACCAGGCUUGUUCUGAGGUUCACCCGACUCCACUGCAUGUAUUACGUGCAUGUGUACCUUGGAAUGGAAAAUACAUGACUAAGCCCUGAGACAACUCUGCACUGUAUCCUGCUAUUCUUCCAACUGCAGGACCUCAUGGAGCGAGAGAUCCAAACCUUUCUGAAGUACUUUACCUUCUACCUUUUUCAUGCUACUCAGGAUUGAAUCAAUUGGAAGCCAACAAAGCCAUUCUGUGUUACUGUGCCUCCUGACUGUCAGCACGCUGCACUGUGCAUUUAGAUAAUUCUGCCAGAAGGCAUUUUUAUAAAAACAGCUUUCAAAAUCUAUUCUUGAAAAGACAUUUGUAUACUCAUUAUGCCAUUCUAUCAUUUAUCCAUAGGGAGUUCUGUAAAUAAAACACUGAGGUCUAAUACUAUGGAAAGAGGGAUAGUGGGAAGUGUGGACACUCUGAACCUCUAAGAGCAGUGGAAGAACAGGUAUCCUAAAGGUAACUGAGCAGAUAAAAGGAAAAGACAGGAAGUUGGUCCUGGAAGUAUGGGCAGCAUGAAUACGUACCAUGCUAGAGUCAUAUAGCUGGGAAGACAUGGAACCCAAAUUUGAACCAAAGACUCAAAAGGCUCCUAAGUCUUACUCUUCCCCCAACACUAUUUUUCAGUUGUUUUCAGU
rnacentral:lncRNA from 1 species